UCGCCGCCUAUCAGCUUGUUGGUGAGGUAACGGCUCACCAAGGAAUCGACGGGUAGCUGGUCUGAGAGGACGAUCAGCCACACUGGGACUGAGACACGGCCCCGACUCCUACGCGAGGCAGCAGUGGGGAAUUUUGCACAAUGGGCGAAAGCCUGAUGCAGCGACGCCGCGUGGGGGAUGAAGGCCUUCGGGUUGUAAACCCCUUUCAGUAGGGACGAAAAUGACGGUACCUACAGAAGAAGCUCCGGCCAACUACGUGCCAGCAGCCGCGGUAACACGUAGGGGGCAAGCGUUGUCCGGAAUUAUUGGGCGUAAAGAGCUCGUAAGUGGUUCAGUAAGUCGGAUGUGAAAGCUCAGGGCUCAACCCUGGGACGCCAUCCGCUACUGCUGUGACUAGAGUUCGGUAAAGGAGUGUGGAAUUCCUGGUGUAGCGGUGAAAUGCACACAUAUCGUGAGGAACACCAGCAGCGAAGGCAGCACUCUGGGCCGAUAUUGACGCUGAGGAGCGAAAGCGUGGGGAGCAAACAGGAUUAAAUACCCUGGUACUCCACGCCGUAAACGUUGGGCACUACGUGUGGGGAUUUAUCGGCGAUCUCGUGGCCGACACUGAGACAUUAACUGCGCCGCCUGUGGAGUAC
rnacentral:rRNA from 1 species